rnacentral:rRNA from 1 species
GAUGAACGCUGGCGGCGUGCCUAAUACAUGCAAGUCGAGCGAACAGACGAGGAGCUUGCUCCUCUGACGUUAGCGGCGGACGGGUGAGUAACACGUGGAUAACCUACCUAUAAGACUGGGAUAACUUCGGGAAACCGGAGCUAAUACCGGAUAAUAUAUUGAACCGCAUGGUUCAUUAGUUAAAGACGGUUUUGCUGUCACUUAUAGAUGUAUCCCCCCCGCAUUAGCUAGUUGGUAAGGUAACGGCUUACCAAGGCGACGAUGCGUAGCCGACCUGAGAGGGUGAUCGGACACACUGGAACUGAGACACGGUCCAGACUCCUACGGGAGGCAGCAGUAGGGAAUCUUCCGCAAUGGGCGAAAGCCUGACGGAGCAACGCCGCGUGAGUGAUGAAGGUCUUCGGAUCGUAAAACUCUGUUAUUAGGGAAGAACAAAUGUGUAAGUAACUAUGCACGUCUUGACGGUACCUAAUCAGAAAGCCACGGCUAACUACGUG